rnacentral:rRNA from 1 species
UAGUUACAGGCUUAACACAUGCAAGUCGAGGGGAAACGACAUCGAAAGCUUGCUUUUGAUGGGCGUCGACCGGCGCACGGGUGAGUAACGCGUAUCCAACCUGCCCACCACUUGGGGAUAACCUUGCGAAAGUAAGACUAAUACCCAAUGACGUCUCUAGAAGACAUCUGAAAGAGAUUAAAGAUUUAUCGGUGAUGGAUGGGGAUGCGUCUGAUUAGCUUGUUGGCGGGGUAACGGCCCACCAAGGCAACGAUCAGUAGGGGUUCUGAGAGGAAGGUCCCCCACAUUGGAACUGAGACACGGUCCAAACUCCUACGGGAGGCAGCAGUGAGGAAUAUUGGUCAAUGGACGAGAGUCUGAACCAGCCAAGUAGCGUGCAGGAUGACGGCCCUAUGGGUUGUAAACUGCUUUUAUAAGGGAAUAAAGUGAGUCUCGUGAGACUUUUUGCAUGUACCUUAUGAAUAAGGACCGGCUAAUUCCGUGCCAGC